rnacentral:rRNA from 1 species
ACGGAAGCAGCAGUGGGGAAUAUUGGGCAAUGGGCGAAAGCCUGACCCAGCGACGCCGCGUGAGGGAAGAAGGUCUUCGGAUUGUAAACCUCUUUCAGCAGGGAAGAAGCAAGUGACGGUACCUGCAGAAGAAGUCACGGCUAACUACGUGCCAGCAGCCGCGGUAAUACGUAGGUGGCGAGCGUUAUCCGGAAUUACUGGGUGUAAAGGGUGUGUAGGCGGAGAAGCAAGUCAGGCGUGAAAUUUAUGGGCUCAACCCAUAAACUGCGCUUGAAACUGUUUCCCUUGAGAGUGGGAGAGGUAAACGGAAUUCCUGGUGUAGUAGUGAAAUGCGUAGAUAUCAGGAGGAACACCGGUGGCGAAGGCGGUUUACUGGACCACAACUGACGCUGAGACACGAAAGCGUGGGGAGCAAACAGGAUUAGAUACCCUGGUA